rnacentral:lncRNA from 1 species
GAUGAACAAAAAUCAACAUAAUAAACAAAGACACGACCAGAUGUGAGCAUGUAGACUUGGCAGUAAAAAGCUAAAACUGUUUUCUUUGUGAAGCAGGAGGCAAGGUUGUCUGGUGAGAGUACAUGGGAAAGGAGAUGGAAGGUUGGAGGUGAGAGCAAAGAAGGUUUGCUGCAGAAGUUGUGGAGAGAGGGAAGACAAGACAAGGAGAGAAAUAUGACGGCUGCCAAGGAGGAUUAGCACCCAGGUGGAGCAGGUUCGACAUGACAGCUCGCCAGUUUCACAAUGCAUACCUUCCUUAUCAGAGACCGUUGAUGAUGGAGAUGCUCUGGCCAGUCUAUAGAGAAUGCACAGAGGAUUUUCGGUCCUCUGCUUCACCUUCUGAUGUCAGAAGGCUGAAAACUCCACACUCAGAUUAUGCUAAUGCUGCCAUUUGUGUACAUGUGACCCAUGAAGAGG